UCCCUCCCAGGUACCAUCAUAGCUGCUAGC
rnacentral:piRNA from 2 species